UACGUAGGGCGCAAGCGUUGUCCGGAAUUAUUGGGCGUAAAGAGCUCGUAGGCGGUUUGUUGCGUCGGCUGUGAAAUCCCGAGGCUCAACCUCGGGUCUGCAGUCGAUACGAGCAAACUAGAGUGUUGCAGGGGGGACUGGAAUUCCUGGUGUAGCGGUGAAAUGCGCAGAUAUCAGGAGGAACACCGGUGGCGAAGGCGGGUCUCUGGGCAACAACUGACGCUGAGGAGCGAAAGCGUGGGGAGCGAACAGG
rnacentral:rRNA from 1 species